rnacentral:tRNA from 1 species
GUGGGUAGAGCUCAGUGGCAGAGCACAUGCUUAGCAUGCACGAGUUCCUGGGUUCAACCCCUAGUACCUCUA